rnacentral:rRNA from 1 species
UACGUAGGGUGCAAGCGUUGUCCGGAAUUAUUGGGCGUAAAGAGCUUGUAGGCGGUUUGUCGCGUCUGCUGUGAAAUUUCGGGGCUCAACCCCGAACUUGCAGUGGGUACGGGCAGACUAGAGUGUGGUAGGGGAGACUGGAAUUCCUGGUGUAGCGGUGAAAUGCGCAGAUAUCAGGAGGAACACCGAUGGCGAAGGCAGGUCUCUGGGCCACUACUGACGCUGAGGUGCGAAAGCGUGGGGAGCGAACAGG